rnacentral:rRNA from 1 species
AUUGAACGCUGGCGGCAGGCUUAACACAUGCAAGUCGAGCGGGGUGAUGGUGCUUGCACUAUCACUUAGCGGCGGACGGGUGAGUAAUGCUUAGGAAUCUGCCUAUUAGUGGGGGACAACAUCUCGAAAGGGAUGCUAAUACCGCAUACGUCCUACGGGAGAAAGCAGGGGAUCACUUGUGACCUUGCGCUAAUAGAUGAGCCUAAGUCGGAUUAGCUAGUUGGUGGGGUAAAGGCCUACCAAGGCGACGAUCUGUAGCGGGUCUGAGAGGAUGAUCCGCCACACUGGGACUUAGACACUGCCCAGACUCCUACGGGAGGCAGCAGUGGGGAAUAUUGGACAAUGGGGGGAACCCUGAUCCAGCCAUGCCGCGUGUGUGAAGAAGGCCUUAUGGUUGUAAAGCACUUUAAGCGAGGAGGAGGCUACUAGUAUUAAUACUACUGGAUAGUGGACGUUACUCGCAGAAUAAGCACCGGCUAACUCUGUGCCAGCCGCCGCCGUAA